rnacentral:rRNA from 1 species
GAUGAACGCUGGCGGCGUGCUUAACACAUGCAAGUCGAACGGUGAAGGCGGAGCUUGCUCUGCUGGAUCAGUGGCGAACGGGUGAGUAACACGUGAGCAAUCUGCCCCUGACUCUGGGAUAAGCGCUGGAAACGGCGUCUAAUACUGGAUACGAGCUGCGAAGGCAUCUUCAGCAGCUGGAAAGAACUUCGGUCAGGGAUGAGCUCGCGGCCUAUCAGCUUGUUGGUGAGGUAACGGCUCACCAAGGCGUCGACGGGUAGCCGGCCUGAGAGGGUGACCGGCCACAAUGGGACUGAGACACGGCCCAGACUCCUACGGGAGGCAGCAGUGGGGAAUAUUGCACAAUGGGCGAAAGCCUGAUGCAGCAAAGCCGCGUGAGGGACGACGGCCUUCGGGUUGUAAACCUCUUUUAGAAGGGAAGAAGCGAAAGUGACGGUAACUGCAGAAAAAGCGCCGGCUAACUACGUG